UGCGUAGGCGGCCUGACAAGUCAGAGGUGAAAGGCUACGGCUUAACCGUAGUAAGCCUUUGAAACUGACAGGCUUGAGUGCAGGAGAGGAAAGUGGAAUUCCUAGUGUAGCGGUGAAAUGCGUAGAUAUUAGGAGGAACACUAGUGGCGAAGGCGACUUUCUGGACUGUAACUGACGCUGAGGCACGAAAGCGUGGGGAGCGAACAGGAUUAGAUACCCUGGUAGUCC
rnacentral:rRNA from 1 species